rnacentral:sRNA from 1 species
AAGACCUCGCCCGGGUAUAUACAGUGAA